rnacentral:tRNA from 1 species
GCCCCGGUAGUACAGCCCGGUCAAGCCUCUGUGAAGCAAUCGCCGAAAGUAUUCCGGCCUUUCGAGUCGGAAAGCGCGGGUUCAAAUCCCGCCCGGGGCA